AGCGAACGCUGGCGGCAGGCCUACACAUGCAAGUCGAACGAGACCUUCGGGUCUAGUGGCGGACGGGUGAGUAACACGUGGGAACGUGCCUUUAGGUUCGGAAUAACUCAGGGAAACUUGUGCUAAUACCGAAUGUGCCCUUCGGGGGAAAGAUUUAUCGCCUUUAGAGCGGCCCGCGUCUGAUUAGCUAGUUGGUGAGGUAAUGGCUCACCAAGGCUACGAUCAGUAGCUGGUCUGAGAGGAUGACCAGCCACAUUGGGACUGAGACACGGCCCAAACUCCUACGGGAGGCAGCAGUGGGGAAUCUUGCGCAAUGGGCGAAAGCCUGACGCAGCCAUGCCGCGUGUAUGAUGAAGGUCUUAGGAUUGUAAAAUUCUUUCACCGGGAACGAUAAUGACGGUACCCGGAGAAGAAGCCCCGGCUAACUUCGUGCCAGCCGCCGCAGUAAUAC
rnacentral:rRNA from 1 species